rnacentral:rRNA from 1 species
CCUACGGGAGGCUGCAGUGGGGAAUAUUGCACAAUGGGGGAAACCCUGAUGCAGCGACGCCGCGUGAGUGAAGAAGUAUUUCGGUAUGUAAAGCUCUAUCAGCAGGGAAGAAGAAAGACGGUACCUGACUAAGAAGCCCCGGCUAACUACGUGCCAGAAGCCGCGGUAAUACGUAGGGGGCACGCGUUAUCCGGAUUGACUGGGUGUAAAGGGAGCGUAGACGGCUGUGCAAGUCUGAAGUGAAAGCCCAGGGCUCAACCCUGGGACUGCUUUGGAAACUGUGGAGCUAGAGUGCUGGAGAGGUAAGUGGAAUUCCUAGUGUAGCGGUGAAAUGCGUAGAUAUUAGGAGGAACACCAGUGGCGAAGGCGGCUUACUGGACAGUAACUGACGUUGAGGCUCGAAAGCGUGGGGAGCGAACAGGAUUAGAUACCCGGGUAGUC